rnacentral:rRNA from 1 species
UACAGAGGGGGCAAGCGUUGUUCGGAAUUACUGGGCGUAAAGGGCGCGUAGGCGGCCUUCUAAGUCAGACGUGAAAUCCCUCGGCUCAACCGGGGAACUGCGUCUGAGACUGGAAGGCUUGAAUCCGGGAGAGGGAUGUGGAAUUCCAGGUGUAGCGGUGAAAUUCGUAGAUAUUCGCAAGAACACCAGUGGCGAAGGCGGCUCACUGGCCCGAUACUGACGCUGAGGUGCGAAAGCGUGGGGAGCAAACAGG